AAGUAUGAAAAACAGAAAUAGCUGUAAAAGUAUUUUUUAGAAAUCAGAACUUAUCUAAAGAAAAAGCAUAAGUUACAGAACUGAUUUAAACAAUGAGUUCAGGGAGAUUGGAAUUUAGUUGGAAAACAAUAGGCAGAAUAUUAGAAAAGAAACCGUUUCAAAAAAAAGAUGCAGAUUUGAAGAUUUCAACUUUUAAGACAAAUAUACACUGAUUCAAGAGAGUUUUAUCAAAAAGGGUUAAGGCUUUUGAAAACGUUACUAAAUUAAGGCGUUAAGGAACAUCAUAUUAUUGGUUUAAACGAAUAUGACGAAUUUGAUAUGAAAUCCUAUAGAAAUGAUAUCUAUAUUUGAUUUUCAGAACUUGUUAAGAAUUUGUGAAUAGAUGACUAUUUUAAUUAACCCUACAGUUGCCUAACAAAUAUGCAUUCCAUGUAGACAUGAUAUCUAUACAUGAAUUUUAAGAAAAAAUUUUAAACUCCUAUAGGCAGAAUCUCUAUAUGCAUGAUUACAGAUUAUGAACGUUAAAUCCUAUAGGCAUGCUUUUUAUGUGAUUUGUAGCAUAGUUAAGCGUUAACCCUAUAGGCAUGAUCUCUAGGUGAUUAAAUAUGAAAUAUUAGGCAGACCUAUAGGCAGGAUUUCUAGUGAAAGAUAAAGUCCUAAAGCAUGAUAUCUACCCUUGUUGAUGCAAGAAAGUAAAAUUCCUCCCACACCCUUUACUAUAUUUCCCCGAGUUUUAUACAAAUCAUUACAGAACCUGAAAAGAUAGAUAAAAAAUACAUUAAAGACUAACAGGUAGAUCCGAACAGCCCAAUUCAAUCUUAAUGUCCAAUAACAUGUGAUUAACCAUUUUCGGAUCCAGAUUUUCAGAGCCUUAUCUUUAUCUAAAGUGUUUCAAAGUUCCAAGGAAUCUCAGGGAUUUCCGACAUUGUUUAUACUAAGACUGCCAUUUAGAAUUAGAGUAGUGCAGUGUGGAAGAUCCAUCCCUCAGGCAUCCAAGUUCAGAGGGAGCUCAAGGGUCCCAAAGCAUGGCUUGCAAGAGGGGGGCAAAACUUAUAGCUAAGAGUAAUUGCAGAGUGAAAAAGAAUUGGGGACCCAUAGCAAAUGGUGGUCAUACCGAGCUACAAGUGCAGACUGGCACACCCCUUACCAAUUGUUUGGUUAAACAAGUUAGGAGGAGACCUUUGAAGGUCAGACCUAAGUUUGGACAGUUAUUAGGACUAUAUGGGACUCAAAUCUAAGGCUCAAACACAUAAAAGGGGAAAGAUGAGUGGGAAUUAAUUGAGUUAGGGGGUUCAAAGAACCCAGUUCAGAGUCAUAGAUAGUAAUGUUAUAAUGCUGCUAUGUCUUGAACCAUACAUAGAAAGGGGAAGGGAAAGGGGUUUACAUAAGAGAAGUAGUAACAAAAUUGCAGAAACAUAAUGAAGAAAACAUAACAGAACUUAGAAAGUAAACAUGUAGUGGAGGGCCAUUAUUUAAAUUAAGAAGAACAUACAGUUGCACAAUGAGAAUAAACAAAAUAGUAGAGCAAUCGCGGUAAGUAAAACAGCAGGAGAAAACUCAAAUUUCAGCAGAACACUUGAAGGCUCGAAGAGAACUCAAAGCUGUUUCAAAAAGCAAAGAGUAGAAGUAUAGGGAAUAAGAGAGUAGAAAGCAGAGUGCUUAAUGCUAUGAUUGAGAGUGUAAUUUAAUAGUGAAAGUUUUGGUGUUAAAGCGUGUAAAGCCUGUUUUCAAGUGCAAAAGGGUACCCUCUUUUAUAGUG
rnacentral:lncRNA from 1 species